rnacentral:rRNA from 1 species
UAAGACGUAGGGUGCAAGCGUUAAUCGGAAUUACUGGGCGUAAAGCGUGCGCAGGCGGUUUUGUAAGACAGGCGUGAAAUCCCCGGGCUUAACCUGGGAACUGCGCUUGUGACUGCAAGACUAGAGUGUGUCAGAGGGAGGUGGAAUUCCGCGUGUAGCAGUGAAAUGCGUAGAGAUGCGGAGGAACACCGAUGGCGAAGGCAGCCUCCUGGGAUAACACUGACGCUCAUGCACGAAAGCGUGGGGAGCAAACAGG